GCUAUCCGGAGAAGCCCGCCGAAAAAAGCGGGUGCCGAAGGUGCAACGCCGGCAUAACAACAGCCGGCUAAUCUCUCAGGCAAAAGGACGGAUACAU
rnacentral:ncRNA from 1 species